AUGAGGUACCCAGAAGGAGGAAAAGGUCCCAAGAGCAGGUAACAGAGUCAGAGACAGCCCUUACUCCCACUGUUAGGAAUCCCACAAGAAGACCAAGCUACACGACUGUAACAUAUGUGCAGAGGGUAUAGGUCAGUUACAUACCAGUCCUCUGGUUAGCAGUGCAGUCUCUGUGGGCCACUAUGACCCAAGAUUAGUUGAUUCUAUGGGUUUUCUUGCUGUUUCCUUGGUCCCUCUGGCUCCCACAAUCCUUCCUCCUCUUCUGCAGGGUUCCCUGAGGUUUGUCUAAUGUCCGGCUGUGGGUGUCUGCAUCUGUUUCCAUCAAUUUAAGGCCAGGAAUUUAAAAAUUUCUUUCUUGAUUUCUCUUAUUGGCCUGUUCAUCGUUCAGCAAUGAGUUGUUUAAUCACUGAGUUUGUGUAUUUACUAGAGAUUUGUUGACUGUCAUUUUUUUUGUGUGUGUGUGUUUUGUGUUCAGGUAGGAUACACUGGGUUAUAUCAAUCUCUUUGAAUUUGUAAAGAUUUGUCUUGUGUUCCAGAAUGUGGUCUAUUUUAGAACGUUUCCACAUGCUGCUGAGUACAAUGUGUAUUCUUUGCUAUUUGGGUGAAAUAGUGUUGAUAUCUGUUAAUCCAUUUGAUGUAUGAUGUCAAUUAAUUACCAUGUUUCGCUGUUCAUUUUUUGUUCAGAUGACCCGUCUAUUGGGGAAAGUAGGGUAUUGAAACCAUCUACUGUUAACAAAUUCAUGUUCAAUCCAACUGAUACUAAAUCUAGUAAUACAUUUUAUUUUUUAUGAAAUUGGAUGCAAAAGAGCUUGGGGCAUAAAUGUUUAAGAUAGCAAUGUCUUCUUGGUUAACUGUUCCCUUGAUUAGAAUGACAUGCCCCUCCUUAUCGCUUUUUCUUAGUUUCAGUUUAAAGUCUAUUUUUUUUUUUUUUUUUUUUUUUUAGAUAUUAGGAUAGUGGUACCUACUUGCCUCCUGGUCCCAUUUGACUGGAGUACUUUUGUCCAUCCUUUUCUCUAAGGCAGUACCUAUCUUUCAAGCCAAGAUGUGUUUCUUGUAGACAACAGUUUUUGUUUCUUAAUCCAUUAAGUCAGUGUGUGUCUUUUGCUUAGCGGUUGAGAACAGAGCUAGCCUGGUAUAAAUGAUAUGUAUCUCCUGGUACACACUUAGAGUUCGAGGAUAGAUUUAGCCGACUGGAAAGGUUGGAUGUGGCAUGGAAGGGCUCUGUGGGUUGGGGGUUAGGUAGGGAGGAUACUGAUAAAAGCCUGGAGAUUGGCUGUAGUACAGGCAGGGGAGACCAGACAAGGCUGAGAUAGCGGCUGUGAGACCUGGACUAUAUCUGGAAAGUUGGGAAACGUGCAUGGCAGGGAGGGUCAGAGAGUCUCAAUGGGCUAGAUCAUGAGCAAGGAUGUCUUCAGCUCUUUUUGUAACUACUCAAUUUUAUUUAUUAUUAUGGCAUCUAUGUGUGUGAGUGCAGGCGGGCUUAUGCUGUGGGGUACAAUGGAGUUCAGAAGACAACUUUCAGGAUUCGGUUCUUUCUCUCCACUUGCGGUCCUGGGGACAUCAAACUCAGGGUGUCAGGCUUACUAAGAAUGCCCUUCUACCCCCUCAACUAUCUCCUAGGCACCACUAGCUCUUCUGAAAGACUUAUAGGCUUGGAGUCUAUAGAACUUAUAGUUCUGUAAUGGAGGAACACAUUACCUCAUUCUUAAAAAUUCCCUGCAUUUAUGUCUGUGAUGGUGUUGUCAACUUAACAGGAUCUAGAAUCACUUAGGGGCUCUGGGCAUAAAGGGUUAAUUGGGGUGGAGGACGCACCCACUGUGGGCAGCACUAUUCCCUGGGCUGGGAAUUUGGGGCUAGAUAUGAAGGAGAAGGCAAGCUGAGCACCAGCUUUCAUCAUUCUCUGCCUCCUGAUUGUGACUGCCAGAUGACUGGCUCCGGAGGGCUGCUGUGACUUCUCAGUCAUGAUGGGCGGUACCUCUAACUGUGAGCCCAAAUAAUGCCUUUCUUUCUAACUCUGCUUCUGCCCAGGUAUUUUAUCACAGCAACGGGAAAGUCAUGAAGAUGCCGUCUGAAAUUUUGUGAUUAAACACUGAAGCCACAAGAAAGGACACGAAUGACCAGGUGAGAAUUUACAUGCUCAUCACCCAUCGUCUUCCCAUGGAGUGCUCGGCUGCAGACGAGACAUCAUCACCCAUCGUCUUCCCGUGGAGUGCUCGGCUGCAGACGAGACAUCAUCACCCAUCGUCUUCCCAUGGAGUGCUCAGCUGCAGAUGAGACGUUAUAGCACACCCUCUCCACACAGGGCUGAGAGAACGUUUUAGAAAAGGGGGUGGAAAGACUCUAAGAGUCAGGGGCUGGGGAGGACUAGAAAAAACAGCCCUCCUGGUGGUGACAGGGGACUGUACUCAUGAACUCACAGCAGCAUGCUUGCCUGAACAAGACCUGCCCAAGGUCAAGCCAGUUACCACCAGUCCAGCACAGAUGCCUGAAGGUCACACAAGGCCCCGCCCCCAUCUGAGGAGCUGUGGACGGUGGCUGCUGGAGGAGGGAGAGACCGUUUUCUUGGCUGACCAUGCUCCAGCAGAUGACCCUGGACUCAUGCUUCUAUGGUCAUCAUUCAUCGGACUCAGUAGGUUAUUAAGGGGAAAAAGAUGAAAUUGAAAGAAAAACACGGGGAGGAGAAUCUGGUUGGAGCUGGAGGGGGUAGUGGUGGCUGGAUCAAAAUUCAUUGUGUAUUUCAGUGGUUCUCAACCUUCCCAAUGCUGUGACCCUUUAAAACAGUUCUUCAUGCUGUGGUGACCCCCCCCAAAAGGAUACAGACUAACGAAGUCAGUCAAGGCUGGCAGGUGGAAGCCUUCUCCAUGACAUCUUCUUAGGCGAGAGCAGGCAAUGUGUUUUCCAGGACAACAACAGGAAGAAGCCAAUGUAUCUGGAGCACUUAGGUUCUGAGGAUUUCACCAUCCAGCAAUUCUUUUAGCUGUGGUUGUGAGCCAUUUCCCAGCUGAGCAAACCGAGGCCCAGCUUCAAUGUCAUUUGCUCUCACAGGGAGGACCAUCACCACUACCACCAUUACCACCGUAAUCACCAUCAUCCCUGUGAUCAUCGUCACUACUGUAGUCGUCACCACAGUAGCCAUCAUCAUCACCGCCACCAUCACCAUCACCACUGUAAUCGCCAUCAUCACUGUAACCAUCACCACCACCCUCUAUCUAGCUCUGUCUUUCACACUCGGCAGUCACAUGCCAAGCUGGAGGGCCCGCACAUGCUUUUCUACACCUUUCACGAUUCUCUGCUCGUCACAUCCAAAUCAGGACAGGGUCAGAGUCAAGAAAAAUGCUGGAACUCCAUAAAACCUCAAGACGUGCUGAAUGCAUGAGAUUUCUACAGCCUGAACCUUGGAGAUAGUCAUGUUUCUUUUCAUUUAUGUAGUUUUCACGUUUGAAUAACCAACAUGGUCGUGGUUUUAUUCCCUACACUUUUUCUCACAAUUGUGUGUUUUGAUACCCAAUGGAUUGAAAACAGGCUCACGGGCUGGCCUGAAACAUUGCUCUUUUAGCUGCUUCUGUAGGAAAGUGAAUUCCAAAAGGGAAAGAACAAACCUGGAAUGUUCUGGAGCAUGCAAACUGAGCAUUGUCUGUGUGCUGAAAGCAGUUCACAGGGGUGUAGGAAGGAGUUGUCCCAGCAAGGCUGGUGCUCAGACCCACCAGUUUUAAGGUUUUUAGGGUUUUGUUGAUUCCUUCUGUUUCUGUUGUUUGCUUGAUAAUAGGCAUACUUGGGCGCUCCCUGUCAGUCUCUCUGCAUCUACCGGCAGUUGGCGUCAUUCCAUUUUGCUUGGAUAAUUCAGUCCCAUUGCCUCCCAUGGAAAUAGCUGCUCCUGGCAAAAGAAGUGAUCAUUUACUCAAAGCAUUUGCACAGCUCUGCUCAGUUAGACAGCAAAAGCGGGCUGAUCAUUUCUGCAUGACGACAAGUCAAAUCAAGAAAACCUCUAAACCAUGAAAUGAAAUUUAAUUAAAUAUUGCAAAGACAAACAUUUUUACCAGGAAUAGAUAUUCCGAAAGAAUGGCUGGAGGAUGCAAAAACCACUGUUUUACUCUUAGAAAGUAUUUGUGGAAACUUUAUAAAUGUAAAUGAUUUCCCAAAUGGCAUGUGUUGUCAUUGUCAGGUCUUCACAUCUGGUGGGUGGUGGCUCUGAGGUACUGUAAAUGUGUCCUCUCAGGUGUUGUGGCUGAAAGUCCUACAAAAUGGUAAGAGAGGAGCAGGCUGCCAGGGUGGGUGGGAGCAGCUUGCUGCAAUCAAGCCCCACCUUGUGCACAGCUCAUGUACACCAGAGUGAUACUGUCUUCUGAAAAACAUCUUGCUAACUCUGAUGCUCCAAGAAGACAAAUGCUGUCCCUUCUACCAAGGCUCUGCUGUCAACGUUUCCACACCUCUUCUCAGGUCCAAUGCAGGUACAGGCUCUCCAGGCCCAGGAGACCACAGAGAGUAUUUUGGGGACUCUAACCCCAGCAACAAGGAGGUGUUCAGAGAUGCCUGUCCCUUAACACCAGGGGCACAGGAGAAGGACUAAGUCAGGAGAAUGAAGAAGCAGGAGAACCUGAUGGUGACCCCCCCACACACACACUAAUGACAAAGGGAAGGGAAGGCACCCUCAUUGCAAUAAGGAACCAGAGGAGUCUUCAAAUGAACAUAUGGAACUCACUUGAAGGACAAGGCCCCCUGCAGUCAUCUGUUAGCAAACAAGGUCAUCACUGAAAACGACUUCCAGCUCUGUGGUCACAUCACUGGAGAGCCUGAGGCAGGAGGAUAGCAAGUCCAGGAUCAGCCUGGGCUACCCAGCAACGCCUUGUAACAAAACAAAAGGAUCCCCAAAUCACAAUCAACAUUUUAUCAGCAAUGGUAAUAGUUACUCAAAACAUACCAGUUCUUAAUUAAUAUACUAUCAUUUACUCUUAUAUCUUAAGAUCAUUUAUGUCCAUCCUGUUUCUGUAGUGGGAUUACUGCGUUGCUGUGGUACCAUGUAUCACUUUUCUGCUCAGAGUUCUCUCUGUGGUGUGCAGCUUUUGAUAAUGACUGUGCUGUGCCGUGAGCAUUUAUACUAUGAAAACUGACAAAUUAAAAAUA